AAGAAUUUAAGCAAAAGAGCCCUGCAAAUAUGAAUGUGGCAACUCAAAUUAGUAUAGACAUUAGUAGGAAAAAAAGGCUAGUACAAGAAGAUUGUAUUGUUGAGAGGAAUAGAAGGAAAUUCUUCUCAAGAUUUUUUGUGUAGCCUGAGAGGACUCACAUGGGCUAUAAAACCAACAUGUGGGGGAUGUAGGAAAUUAUUCGUUUUAUACAAAGGAUAAUUCUUUCAGGAACAAGAGUAAAUAUGUUUAGUGUGAGAAAACCUAGUUUUAGCUCAGCUUACAGAGGAGACUCACAUGGAAAAACCUCAAAUGGAGGAAGUCCUUUUCAUCAUGUGUUUUUCAAUAUGAGAACUCAAACGGAAGAAAUCCCAGGAAUCAUAGCAGGAAAUGCUUAUAGCCUGAUUUGAGAGAAUUCAUACUAGACAAAAAAUUCCAGUUGUAUUCCGUUUGGAAAAGUUCUUACAUCAAAUCAUUGUAUCUGAGAACUCUGAAAUCACAGGGAAAUAGUUGCUGCGGAGAGGUUUCAUAAACAGCUGUUUUCAAUAUCAUAGAAGUAGAUAUUGAAGAGUGUCUGAGAAUGUAAUCAAUG
rnacentral:lncRNA from 1 species